rnacentral:lncRNA from 1 species
AGAAAAAAAAAUUCUAUAGUAUUGUGAGUAUUUUCUUGAGUAUAAGAAUACUUUGAGCGUAGUUUUUCUGCAAGAUUUUCUCAGAAUAAUAUCCGAUAUUUCAGUCAAAUCCAAGCUUCUACUAAGGUAAAGGAUAUUAUUUUAUUGCAAUACUCGGGAGAAAAAUAUUAUUUUCUUUCAUACUCCAUAUUAUGUAAACGAUAUUAUUUUAUCUCGUAUUCUUAAAUUUGAACUUACUAUGGUAAGUAUUGCUUCUAUAAUUCCUGAAAUGAUUAAAAAUUUUGUUUCAUCUAAUAUCAUUUCAUAGGAAUAUUGGUCUGAAUUUUUUAUCAAAUUUGGAACUUGUCAUUACUGGUACUGUUCAUGGGUACUGUUCACGGGUACUGUUCAUGGGUACUGUUCAUGGGUACUGUUCACGGGAACUGUUCACAAAAAAAAAAAAAAAAAAUUCUUCCAAAUUAUUUGUUGUGACCCUUAUUCCUAAAAGUUUAAUCCAUGUUUUGAUUUUUUAUCCUCCUUAGUCCUAAAUGGUGAUAUAAAUGAAUAUCUUUGGCCUGUAGUGCAAAGAUGAAUGAUUAACUAAUGAAUAUCUUUGGCCCGUAGUGCAAAGAUGAACAGGUGUUGAGAUGAACAUAACCAGCUGGUGAUACAAAUGAAUAUCUUUGGCCUGUAGUGCAAAGAUGAUUAAAGAUGUAUAUUGAUUGUUGUUACAAGGAUAAAAUAUUGAUGAUGGACUUUUAAACCUUAGAAGACAGUAGAAUUCUUUCUCUACGUGACUCUUCUAAUGGAUUGUUGUUCCGCUGCAUUUAUUGAUCUAAAACUUGUUGUCUAUUAUAUUUUAUCAGAUUUUUCCCUAUUGAAGACUAACGAUAAUUUGUUGUAUAUUAUCUUAGUCAUAAUAUUAUUUACUGGGCUAGUUGAGCUCACCCUUUCCUUUUUAUUUCAUUUUUCUUCUCAGGAGGUGAGAACAUAGCAAGAUCGAGUCGGGGUAUGGAGUGAUGGUUCUAGGAAGAUGUUUUAGCAGUCCUCUCUAUUUCUAUAAAAUAGUGUUUGAAUAAUUGUAAUGAGGACUUAUUUGCGUGUGGAUAUUGUCUAGAAGACAAUAUUUGUAUUUUAAACUCACAGUAUGUAUUAUCGUAUUUCACACGACAUUUGUAUUAUUGAAGUUGUAGUUUGCUUUAUGUACCAUGUAUUUGGCGACUCAAAAUGGGUGUUGUAUACCUAUUUUGGGGGCGUCACAGUAAUCUGAAAAAUUAAAAGUUCAAUGAUAUAAUCAGUAAAACGUGCCAACUACAGUGAGUAAUUCAUUAGUUUUGUAGAUAAAAAAUUAACGUCCGUUUAUUUUUUUAACGGAAUAACC